AUUGAAACACUGGUUCUCAUAUGAUUACCAAAGUUAAGCAACAUCUAGCCUGGCCAGUACCCAGAUGGGUUACCACUUGGGAAUACCAGGUGCU
rnacentral:rRNA from 1 species